rnacentral:rRNA from 1 species
AUUGAACGCUGGCGGCAGGCUUAACACAUGCAAGUCGAACGAGUGGCGGACGGGUGAGUAAUGUCUGGGAAACUGCCCAGUAGAGGGGGAUAACUACUGGAAACGGUAGCUAAUACCGCAUACCAUCGGAUGUGCCCAGAUGGGAUUAGCUAGUAGGUGGGGUAAAGGCUCACCAAGGCAACGAUCCCUAGCUGGUCUGAGAGGAUGACCAGCCACACUGGAACCGAGACACGGUCCAGACUCCUAAGGGAGGCAGCAGUGGGGAAUAUUGCACAAUGGGCGCAAGCCUGAUGCAGCCAUGCCGCGUGUAUGAAGAAGGCCUUCGGGUUGUAAAGUACUUUCGGCGGGGAGGCGUUACCCGCAGAAUAAGCACCGGCUAACUCCGUGCCAGCAGCCGCGGUAAUAC